AUUGAACGCUGGCGGCAGGCUUAACACAUGCAAGUCGAGCGGGGGAGGUUACUUCGGUAACUGACCUAGCGGCGGACGGGUGAGUAAUGCUUAGGAAUCUGCCUAUUAGUGGGGGACAACAUUCCGAAAGGAGUGCUAAUACCGCAUACGCCCUACGGGGGAAAGCAGGGGAUCUUCGGACCUUGCGCUAAUAGAUGAGCCUGAGUCGGAUUAGCUAGUUGGUGGGGUAAAGGCCUACCAAGGCGACGAUCUGUAGCGGGUCUGAGAGGAUGAUCCGCCACACUGGGACUGAGACACGGCCCAGACUCCUACGGGAGGCAGCAGUGGGGAAUAUUGGACAAUGGGCGGAAGCCUGAUCCAGCCAUGCCGCGUGUGUGAAGAAGGCCUUUUGGUUGUAAAGCACUUUAAGCGAGGAGGAGGCUCCUUUAGUUAAUACCUAAAGUGAGUGGACGUUACUCGCAGAAUAAGCACCGGCUAACUCUGUGCCAGCCGCCGCGGUAAUAC
rnacentral:rRNA from 1 species